UAGCUCACAUCAGUCCACUCUCCUCUCCACACUGGUCUUUGUCUUUCUAACUACGAGUGGAUGGAGGGAAGGGGCCCACUCCUUUGCAGUCUGGCACAGAUCCGCUUCCUUUGUUCCCUUAAUGGCUUAUUACCUAUAAUCUUACUACACCUGGCAUCUACUUUGCUGCUGCAUGCAGAAGAAGAAGGCAGGAGAAAGGGAAUAUAAAGGAAUGUAGUGGAGUGGCUGCAGUUUUCUCUCAGUAAUGUAGCAUUGCAGUCAGUACUGAGUUUCGGUCUUUCAUGCAGUGCUGAAAUGCCACACUUAAGAAGCAGAGUCGUGGAAUCACCCUUAUUAUGCUCAAGAAUCUAGGCCUGAAAGCAAAUGUGGGGCAGUGGGUAAGAUGCCGUAAUUACAAAUGGAAAACGAGGGUUCACAUCACACCUGGGCUAUGAAGCUUGCUAGCACAUUUGUGGGAAACGGUAUUUUAAUGAUAUUGCUGUGACUUGGGCCAGCCCGCAUCUCCUAGCCUAAUCUCCCUCAGAGGGUUGUUGAGGAUAAAGUGGAUGAGAAGGGGGGAAACCAUAUACCACGAUCCUGAGCUUGUUUAACUAACCCUGUUGUGUCAUAAAGCAAUGAGAUCCAAACGUGUUACUGGGGUGUGUGGGUGUGUGGAAAAAUUCCCUAUAUUAAUUGUACACUGCUUCAGUGGGCUCUGUCCAUUAAGCAGCUUAUAAAACGAUUACAUGAAUGCAACAAAUACUCCCCCAUCAUAUGUUUAUUUUUAUUUUAUUUUAUUUAUUAAAUUUCUAUCCCAACGUUCCUCUCAAAGGGUCCUGGAGUAGCAAAUAUAAAAAUGUUAAAACUUGAAAUGAAAUGCAAACAUUAUUUAAAAGAUUUAAAAUCCAUUGUAAAACAUUUGAAACAUUUAAGAACCUUUAGAAUGUCUGAAAACAUUCAAAAGCAAUUCGGAUCUCUGUUUGGGUACUGUGUGUAAUGAUUAAAGCAGAGGACUGCAGUUCAAUGCCCCCAGGUAGGGCUCUGCUUGAUUCAGCUUCUAACGCUUAGGCUGCAGAGCCACUACUCUCCAUGUCUUCCUCCCUCUGCACUCUGAGACAGAAGUUCAACUUGAACAGAGCCUGUUGGUAUUAUGAAUUUGAUUAUUACUGAUAUGGAAGAACGCAGGAUGUGCAUGGGUCUCGAGAGGACAGGAGCGAUUCCUCUUGUAAUAUGUCACCUGUACGUAUUAAUCUGUCUGCAAAGAAUGAC